GAUGAAGAACGUAGCGAAAUGCGAUAAGUAAUGCGAAUUGCAGAAUUUCCGUGAGUCAUCGAAUCUUCGAACGCACAUUGCGCCCAUUGGUAUUCCGAUGGGCAUGCCUGUUCGAGCGUCAUUAUCUUCCCUCAAACCUCGCGUUUGGUGUUGGGCCGUGCUGGUUCCUGCGUGACCAACUGGCCUCAAAGACAAUGACGGCGUCCGUGGGACCCUCGAUGCAACGAGCUUCUCAGGAGCACGCGUCGAGUUUCAAGGACCUUCCGGGCCGGUCUCUCCCCAUGUUAUUACAAGGUUGACCUCGGAUCAGGUAGGGAUACCCGCUGAACUUAAGCAUAUCAAUAAGCGGAGGA
rnacentral:misc_RNA from 1 species